GCGCACCAGGCGAGAAAACUUCACAAUGUGCGAAAGCACGAUGAGGGAAUCCCAAGUGCUUGCUCGUAAGAGUAAGCUGUUUCUCUGUCUAAAACGCAGAGAGAGUAAGGGCUGGGUAAGACGGGUGCCAGCCGCCGCGGUAAUACCUGCAGCUCGAGUGGUGGCCGCUAUUAUUGGGCCUAAAACGUCCGUAGCCGGUUUAUUAAAUGCCUGGGUAAAUCGGACCGCUUAACGGUUCGAAUUCCGGGUAGACUGAUAAACUUGAGACCGGAGAAGCUAGAGGUACUCCUGGGGUAGAGGUGAAAUUCUGUAAUCCUAGGGGGACCACCAGUGGCGAAGGCGUCUAGCUAGAACGGGUCUGACGGUGAGGGACGAAGCCCUGGGGCGCAAAACGGGGAUUAGAUACCCCGGUAGU
rnacentral:rRNA from 1 species